rnacentral:rRNA from 1 species
GACGAACGCUGGCGGCGUGCUUAACACAUGCAAGUCGAGCGGAAAGGCCCUUCGGGGUACUCGAGCGCGAACGGGUGGGUUACACGUGAGUAAACUGCCCCAGACUUUGGGAUUACCCCUGGAAACGGGGGGCAAUAACGGAUAAGACCACGUCUCGCCUGGGGUCCGUGGGGGAAGUUUUUCGGUUUGGGAUGGGUCCGCGGCCUAUUAGCUUGUUGGUGGGGUGAUGGCCUACCAAGGCGACGACGGGUAGCCGGCCUGAGAGGGCGACCGGCCACACUGGGACUGAGACACGGCCCAGACUCCUACGGGAGGCAGCAGUGGGGAAUAUUGCACAAUGGGCGGAAGCCUGAUGCAGCGACGCCGCGUGAGGGAUGACGGCCUUCGGGUUGUAAACCUCUUUCAGCAGGGACGAAGCGUAAGUGACGGUACCUGCAGAAGAAGCGCCGGCCAACUACGUG